AUAGUCACCCGCUUUUCUGCCAGUUUUCGCCAGUAGGUUACCUGUUCAACCUACUCGUGUUUUCUUGCUUCCGCUUGUGUUUAGUAGCUCUGAAUACUUUAGAAUUUUUGUAUAUUAUGCGAUGUUCAGAAGUGAUAAAUUAAGAGUGUUUUAUGAAAUUUUCGAGUUAGGGUUGUCCAUCUGCAAGGGAGAUUUUCUUAAUCUUUUCAGUAAAUUUUCCUUGGAGGUGGUCCCCGCACGACUUACUCGGGGUUUCAGGGUGAAAUUCGGGGUGGGUCGUGUCAAUAACAUUGUAGAAAAUUGACUGGCAAAUUUCACUACUUUCUUACGAAUUAGUUAACAAAACAUAUCCAAGCUGAAUUUUCAGUUCUACGUCUGUUCUUUUUCUUUGUCGAAAGUAUGUUUGUGGCCUAGAUAAAGAACUAGUGUCAUGAAAGGGGAUGGACUGUGAGAUCCUAAGUUGAAUUCACCUUUAAGACAAAAAUAUUUUUAAAAAAAAUAAGCAGGAAAGAAACAGAAAAGAUUACAUGUAUGUGGUAUUAUAAUUCUUUUGGUACGCAAUUCCGAAAGUUGAGUCAAAGACCUAAAAUUUCAUUUGUCUUUGCCUAUUAUACAAGAACUGGCAUUGAAAAACCUUUUUUUUUCUUUUUUCUUUUUCAAAUAGCUGGUAUACCACUCCCAUGGCAUCUGUAUACCUUUCUAUUACUCUGCUUUUUUUAAUGAACCUUUCUAUUACUUACGUUGAAGUAGAAACAGUUUUUUUUGGUAACUAAGUAGAUACAGUUAUUUGAAACAUCUUAGAACAAAUAAAGUGAUAAAUAAAACAGAAUCAAAAUUACCUGCAUAUUCUGGUGCCAAGUAUCCAAAAGUCCCUGCAAUUCUUGUUUCAAUUGAACCUUUACCCUCUGGAGCAAGCCGCACAAGGCCAAAAUCUGCAACCUUAGCCCUCAAAUCAUCUCCAAGAAGAAUGUUUGAAGGCUUUAGGUCUCUAUGUAUGAAACUUUGAUGGGCUAAACUAUGAAGAUACUCGACUCCCCUUGCUACGUCUAAUGCAAUGGUCAACCUUUUUGUCCAUUCAAGUGGCUUCAGUCCUUCUUCAGGCCAGUUGAAUAUGUACCUACUGAGUGUCCCUUGAGGCAUAUAUUCAUAUACAAGAAGCCUUUUAUUGCCAUCCAAACAAUACCCCAGAAGUGCAACUAGAUGCCUGUGCCGAACCUUGGUCAAAACUGCAAUUUCAGACUUAAAUUCCGCAAGCCCCUUUCCAGCUAUCACCCCAGCCUCCAUUCUCUUAACAGCAAUCUUUGUUCCAUCAUGCAGUUCCCCUUUAUAAACUGUCACGAAACCUCCUCUUCCCAAUAUAUUUUCUUCACUGAAAUUGUUGGUCACAUUCCGUAGCACUUGAAUAGAUAUCACCAUGUUUCCUGCUUCAACCAUUUGGAUGUCACUUGGCUCACUACUAGGAACAGUGUGAGCUUCACUAAGUGCACCAACACUAACACUAGAGCCUGCAACUGUUAUCUUCAUGCUCUCAUUAUCAGAUCCAGAAUGGCGAGGAUGGAUUACCAUUGCAUUCGGGCUCUGAACUCUGCUCAAUCGCUUUUGUUUUGUUCUAUACAAACAGAUAACCAACAGUGCAAUUAAGAACAUCACAAAAACACCACCGAUAACAGAGAACACAAUAACUCCUACUAAAUUUGAAGACUUCUUCCCAUGAGGUCCAGAACCGUUACCAUUUCCAGAAAUACUUGUAGAAGGGUUCGUUGAAUUCUGAGAUGGCCCAUUGGUACUCUUUUCCUUCCUUAUAUCAGGGUUUCCAUCAGUGUUCACAAUCACAUUAGCCUUAGUAAAAGCUGGGAUUUUGCCAUAAAGCAGAUUGUUUGACACAUCUAAUUGGGUAAGUGCAGGCAGAGUGGCUAGCUCCUCUGGAAUAGAUCCUGUCAAAUUGUUAUCAGCAAGAACCACUCUUUGGAGUGACUUCAGUGAGGCGAAAGCCGGAGAAAUGGUUCCGGUGAGGCCCAUUUUCUGAAAAUUGAGGACUGUAAUGUUGCCAUUUCUACAAGUGACUCCAAUCCAAUCUGCACAAGGAUCAUUCCCCUUCCAAUUCUCUGCAAACUUUUGGGGAUAAGACAUUGAACUAACAAUCAAAAGCAAAGUAUCCACUCGAGGAUCGCAUUGACCAGGACUUGGCAGGCAAAAGUUAUUUGAAUCCUUAGUCAUAUCAACUGAAACCCCCUUGGGAAAUUCUGGCAUUGGCCCCUGGAGCAAGUUGUUAGUCAAAUUCACAGACUCUAAUGACUUGAGGUUCAACAACGACACCGAAACAGGUCCAGUGAACAAAUUAUCUCUCAAACUCAAGCUCCUCAAAUCUGUCAACCCGGAAAAGUCAGGUAAAGGACCCGAAAAUCCAUUAGAAUGCAACCAAACCUCAGUGAGUGUAGUCAUGUUGCUUAAAACACCAAUGCUGCCAACAAGCUUGCCCACACUCUGUUGCCCAUUAAGCCAAAGAGACUGCAUCUCCGACCCUGAAAAGCUCUCCGGCAAUUGACCCUCGAGGUAAUUAAAAGCCAAAUGCAAGUUAACCAGCCCCGGAAACGCAUCGGUGUUGAAAAAAUCCGGUAUCUUUCCGGUAAUGUUGGCAGAAUUGGCUGAGAAAUUUUGAAGCGAAGAUGCGUUCUGGAGGGUUUGGGGGAUCUCCCAAGCAGUAAAAGGGUUGUUGUCAAUCUCAACAGACUGAAGUGAGGUCAUGCCAGUAAAGAAAUCACUAGGAAUUGAAGUGAACAAGUUGUUACUAAGUAACAACACUUGCAAUGAGCCUAACCCACUUAGGCUCGGAAGAGGACCCGAAAUAUUGUUCCACUGAAGCUCUAGUCUCUCUAGCUGAGUCAGGUUUUGGAGGCUUGGAGGGAGCGUACCUUGAAUGUUCUGGUGACCAAUCUGGAUCCGGGUCACCCUCUUGUCAUCUGAGCAGCCCACAUAGCUCCACUUGCACGGGUUCGGGUCGGACCAUCCAAAUGAAGCAGGCGGGUUGAGGCUCUUCUUGAGGGCUAGCAUUACUGAAGCGUCGUUGCUUGAGCUUGGUUGAGAGUUGGCACAGAGUAACAAGGAAGAAAACCUAUAAAGCAGAAAAGCCAAGAGCUUCAAGUACCCAACAUGUUGGGGCUUCUUCUUCUCCAUGUUUGAAACACACACACACACUAAUGUUGGGUUUUGUGUUUUCUACGAAGUUAGAAACAAUUGGGUUGCACAGUGCAUGGGGAGCUAUAACUUAUCACAUAGAUGAAAGGUGGAAGCUUUAGGAGAAAUGGAGCAGAUGAGAGAAAAGGGCAUCAACUAUCAACUCCAACUCACAGAGAGAAAGAGAUAGUUUUUGUUUGUUUCUUUUUUGGAGAAGUUUGCUUAUUUGGGAAUUGGGAGUAGAUGUUGGGAAGUGAGAGCUGCAGCACAUGGGGUGGUGUGGAAGAGUGGGCCACAGAUCUGAGUCUGACAGUUCUAAAAAUGCUGGAAAUGAGUCAUGGCUGGUUUUUUGAUUCCUGGUCCAUCACCCUCCAAGUUGCCAUAUUUACACUUAGACUAUUUUGGUUUGCAUUGUCACUGUUUUGUGCUGAAGAACAGUUGCAUGUCUCCAGGAGCUAAUAAGCUUUUGCCAAAAGGAAGAAGAGAAGAAGAAAAUGGGAGAAUUGGGUCGCUUUGUUAAUUGUUUAAUGUUAGUUAAGCAAAAAUAUAAUAGAGGAAGGAGGAAUCAUGAGUAUGAAGAAGCUGCACAUGUUGAGGGCCACAAGGAUUCAUCAUCAGAUGCUUGUGUAAACGAACAAACCAGAACUUGCGCACAUGGCGUGUUUUCUGUGGCCACUUUCUAAACGUAAAUAUAUAGAUAUCAUUUGAUGGUGCCCAGAUAAAUUGUUUAAUAAAAAAAAUUAAUUAAUUUGUUAUGAAAAUAGAUAAUUCCAUUUCACAUGCUAUAUCAGUCUUAACUGUUGACAUCAUCAUAUGAGCAUUUAAUUUAGACUUUAAAUUUUUUUAAAUAUAAUUGUUAUAAAUGAGUGUCAAAAAAUGUGUCAAAAACAAUAACUCUUGAACCAGAUCUUUUAUAUAAUUUUUUCCCUUUCUUGUCCAUGACUAUUUUUUAUUAUUUUUUUUUUUUUGUAAUCUAACGACUAAAUGACAGUCCUCACGCUAUAACCAUUAAUGAAACCUCAUAAUACAAAGGGGGAUGUUGUGCCUAAACCUCAUACUGUAAGAACACCCUAAAUUAACAUUAGGCAUGUCUACAAAAUCUAUGCAUUCUAACAAGCACCAUUUAGCAAAGAGUGCAUCAUUAGCUACUCCAUUUGCUUUAUAAUUUUGGCGACAUACUGAAAAAAUACCGUUCAUGCAGAGCCAUAAGUGACAAUAUCUAUCAGCUUUCCGGCUAUGAUGCCACUGGGAAUAAACAGUGGCCCUAAGUUUCAUCUUGCCACGAAAAGACUGUGACCAUUUGACGAAGCAAGGAACUCGCCACCUCAUUAGAACCAGCAUGGUACGCUGCGUGCGCUUACCAGGACAUAACCCACCAAUAUCCACUACUGCUAAAAAACAAAAAAGCAAAAACAAAAUAGAGAACUGGUAUAGCCCUCCCUCAACCAUUAGAAAAUGGUGACUUAUUUCAACAACAAAAAACAAAAAAUAACUUGUAAAAAACAUAACUGCCCUAAUUGGGCUUAUUUCCUUAAGACAGGCCCAAUUGGUCAAACCCAAAUGGCAACCAAUCUCCCGGCCCAAACCUGAAGCCGCUUCAUCCCGUCACCCCACCACCGGCGAAACCCUACGCCUUUGUCGCCGAUCGACCAGCGGUGGCCGACUCCGAUCGUAUUAGUCCCCCUACCACCAACCAUGAUCAAUGUUCUAAAAGGCGCUAGGCGCUAGGCGGGCGGUAACCCACAGCCUAGAGCCUGGACAGCCUAGGCAAGGAUUAGGUGGGGACUAGGCGAUUUGUAUUUUUUAAGAUUUAUUAUAUAAAAAUAUAUAUUUUAUGCAAUUUAAUAUUUGAAAACGGUCAAAUAUAGAUAAAUUAUUCAACAUAAUCUAGUCAUACUCAUUUAUAAAAUAAAUUGUAACUAAAAUUUAACAUAACUUCCUGUAAAAGUGAGCAACAACAACAAUAAACAUAUACACUUCUAAUUUUAAACACACAAUUAACUCUUAUACUCUCAUACUCCCCACAAUAUAACAAUCCCACCACAAAAAGAAAACAAAAAUAGCCGUAGAACUUAGCAGCCUAGGCGGGCAAGGCGGCAUCUAGGCUGGCUAGGCGGCAUUUAGGCGAGUUAGGCGGCCGCCUAAUCGCCCACAGCCUGGCACAAAGGCCUGGAAGAAAAGCGAGGCGGCUUGUUGCAGCCUAGAGCCUAGGCGGGGACUAGGCGGUCCUAGGCGGGGCCUUUUAGAAGCUUGACCAUGAUGCAGAUCUGCACUUGGACUUGGAUCAGACCUCGGAGCACCGUCAACCCCACCAAGCCAUCGUCAGUCGCCGGCCAACGAAUCCGGUCAUCCAAUCGCUGCGCCGCGCUAGAUCCUCUUCCCGCUCCGAUCCUAGCCCACCUCCAUGAAGCAACCAUAGCCUUCAACAGAGAGAGAUUGUCGUUUAAGAACACCCUUCGACCCCAAGGACCAUCACUACCAGAAAACACCCAUCCGGCCACCCCCGCCAUGGGCCGACUAGGCCAGAGGCCAUGGUCGGCGGUGUGGCGCAGCCGGACAGGAAAGAAGAAGAAAGGAGGCGGCAAGGCUAUUCUCUAGGGUUUUUCGAGGUCGAAUGGCCAGUGUAUUAGCAAUAUAUGUUAUAUCUAAAUAAAUAAAAAUCGACUAUUUUUUAUUAUUAUUAUUGAUAAUUUCAUUCAAUUCAAUAGAAUAUGUUAAAAAACUUAUAUUGUUCUCGAUAAACCUAACUAAACAUUAAGAAAUGUACCGCACUCCACUACAAGCAAAUAAUGAUAUAAUUAUCAAUGACAUUUUCUACAUCGUCAUCAAAACUAAAAUAAGUAGAAGAUGUUUUGGGGUGACAUAGCACUUUAUGAGAAGAUUACUUAGUUUUCUGACCGUGACUCGUAGGACAUGGUGGGUGUUUCCAUCGAUGUUGACCGAAAAUCAUAAAGCUCACAUCACUAAAAUCUCACCUUGCAAUCAUAAACAAGUGGCGUUAGAGGGGAAGACAGGGGGUUGCCCGGCUUUCCACUCUCCAACGCCCAAGUCAGAAAUAUAUAUAAGAAAGAGGAAAGUGGAAGAAUAUGGGAGUGGUGGCUUACCCAUUAUGAGAGGAGGUCCCUCUAUUUAUACAGCUAGGGUGUGCUUGUACCCUCAAAUUACCAUAUUGCCUCCAAGUGGAGAGUGUGAGACUCUUGGGCUGUUAAGUGUUAGGCCAUGAUUUAAGCCUCAUUCAGAGUCGUUUAGCGUAUGAUCCCAGUGUUUGGGCCCGAAAAAGGGUCCAGGUAUAAAUAGUGAGAGUCAUUGUGCCAUUAUUGAUGGUGUAAUCUGUCACAUCCCGACUCUUAUAUUUUUACCUUAUUUACUAGCGUGAUUAUAAUAAGAAUUUUACCGUCUCGAUCAUGAGUAAAUAGUUUAAUUGGUCCCUAGAGGGGUUUCGGGGACGAUUAUGUACGGAGGAUUAUUCGUAUGAGGAAAAUACGACGACGGUAAAAAUGGUAAAUUUUAGCUAGUAAAAGGUAAUUUUUAAUUCGGGUAUUAUUUUUUCGGGGUGUUUUAUUUUGGAAUGGGUUGAUAUAUGAAUUGGACCGGUUGGGAGGCCCCAACCCAUUUUUCUCUCUUUCUCUUCUUCUCUCUUUUCCCUUCCUCCUCUCUCCCGUGCUCUCCUCCCACUGCCGGACUGUCCAGCCGCCAACUGCCGCCGUCCGGCCAGCCACCGGCCGCCGCUCCACCCCAGUUCGGACCCCCACCUCCUCCUCUCCCUCCCCGGCCUAGCCCCCGAGCCUCUAACCCGUCGGAAGAGGAGAAAACCCGCCGGAAACGCCGGGAAGCAUUUCGCCGGAACUCCCUCCUCCGGCCACCAAUCCGGGCAAGCUUGGUAUGGUUUGUAGCCCUCCAACCCAGCAACCUUGCCCUAAAAGGACUCACUCCCUCUUGAGCUAGGUAAGGAGAAAUUUGAGGUGGAAGUUUUAUGGUGUUUUUGAUGUUUUUAGUCGAUUGCCCUAGUUAGGCUUGGAAUUGGUGUUUGUGCUAGUUAUGAAAGUUGUAGAGCAUGAUGAGAUGAAGAUUUUGUAAAAUUUCAUAGGAAUUGGAGGNNNNNNNNNNNNNNNNNNNNAUNUAGGGGAUAUGCGCGUAUAUUUAUACACCGUCUUUUCCACCAUAAUGAGGUAAAAUGCCAUUAUGGUGCAACGUGAGCGUUAGAUGCAAGCGUUGUAGCCUUGUGUGAAUUUUCUAUUUGUUUUUGUUGUUUCAAGAAAAUUCAUACAAGGGAUAUGACGAGUGUAAUACAUACAUAUUUUAUUUUAGCCUGAGAGGCUGUAUUUUAUUGAGCGUUGGAGACUGGCCGGAGCCAGUCAUGAAAUUCCAGUUUUCGUGUUGAGUGUUUUGAGCUGUCGCUUGCAGCAUAUUUUCUUUUCUAUGGAAAAGUAAAAAUUGGGAAAGCAUAAAGAAUUAUUUCCUUUAUUUUAUUUUUGUCCACUCACUCUAAUGUUAUUAAAUGUUUUCCCCUGGGCCUUUCGUUUUAAAUUGCCCAGUCUGCAGAGUUCGGGUUGGAUCUAGUAUGAGGCGAGGCAUAGUCACCCGCAUUUCUGCCAGUUUUCAUCAGUAGGUUACCUGUUCAACCUACUCAUGUUUUCUUGCUUCCGUUUGUGUUUAGUAGCUCUGAAUACUUUAGGAUUAUUGUAAAUUAUGUGAUGUUUAGAAGUGUUGAAUUAAGAGUGAAAUUUGGAAUUUUCGAGUUAGGGUUGUCCAUCUGCAAGGGAGAUUUUCUCAAUCUUUUCAGUAAAUUUUCCUUGGAGGUGGUCCCCGCACGACUUACUCCGGGUUUCAGGGUGAAAUUUGGGGUGGGUCGUGUCAUAAUCCAAGCUAGACGGGUGCAUGUGAGCACAAGCGCUUGGAUCACCUUCUAGAGCAGAAGGAACAACGAAGCAUUAGACCUUGCCAUCACGUAUAAGAUCCUUGAUCUUAUUCUUAAGUGUCUUUGCAAUUGUUGGUGUUGUGUCAUCAUCAAGGUGAUAUUUGCACAACCGAGCCGUUUUGCUUCCAAAUUUCGUUUUAGGGAACUUUGCUCUGUGGGAGAGAGGGAAUGUUAGUGUAUGAGGCGUUGACAACUGUGAACACCUCAUAACGUUGAGCUGGAGCUUUGAAGUUCUUGUAAAGCUUGACAUUGUUGUCUCGACUAGUGCGGUAAGCAUUGUUACUGUAGUCGUUGUGCUUAUUCUUCUUAUGAUGUUGUUGUCCCGAAGAUUAAGAGCAGAGUAGUCGCUCUUCUUAGAGUUUUUUAGAAAAAAAAAAAAAN
rnacentral:lncRNA from 1 species